rnacentral:rRNA from 1 species
AGUAAAAGUCGUAACAAGGUUUCCGUAGGUGAACCUGCGGAAGGAUCAUUACAGAGUUCAUGCCCGAAGGGGUAGACCUCCCACCCUUGUGUAUUAUUACUUUGUUGCUUUGGCGAGCUGCCUUCGGGCCUUGUAUGCUCGCCAGAGAAUACCAAAACUCUUUUUAUUAAUGUCGUCUGAGUACUAUAUAAUAGUUAAAACUUUCAACAACGGAUCUCUUGGUUCUGGCAUCGAUGAAGAACGCAGCGAAAUGCGAUAAGUAAUGUGAAUUGCAGAAUUCAGUGAAUCAUCGAAUCUUUGAACGCACAUUGCGCCCCUUGGUAUUCCGGGGGGCAUGCCUGUUCGAGCGUCAUUUCAACCCUCAAGCUUAGCUUGGUAUUGAGUCUAUGUCAGUAAUGGCAGGCUCUAAAAUCAGUGGCGGCGCCGCUGGGUCCUGAACGUAGUAAUAUCUCUCGUUACAGGUUCUCGGUGUGCUUCUGCCAAAACCCAAAUUUUUCUAUGGUUGACCUCGGAUCAGGUAGGGAUACCCGCUGAACUUAAGCAUAUCAAUAAGCGGAGGA